GAUGAACGCUGACAGAAUGCUUAACACAUGAAAGUCAACUUGAACUUCGGUUUGGGUGGCGGACGGGUGAGUAACGCGUAAAGAACUUGCCUCACAGCUAGGGACAACAUUUGGAAACGAAUGCUAAUACCUGAUAUUAUGAUUAUAUGGCAUCGUAUAAUUAUGAAAGCUAUAUGCGCUGUGAGAGAGCUUUGCGUCCCAUUAGCUAGUUGGAGAGGUAACAGCUCACCAAGGCGAUGAUGGGUAGCCGGCCUGAGAGGGUGAUCGGCCACAAGGGGACUGAGACACGGCCCUUACUCCUACGGGAGGCAGCAGUCGGGAAUAUUGGACAAUGGACCGAGAGUCUGAUCCAGCAAUUCUGUGUGCACGAUGAAGUUUUUCGGAAUGUAAAGUGCUUUCAGUUGGGAAGAAAAAAAUGACGGUACCAACAGAAGAAGUGACGGCUAAAUACGUG
rnacentral:rRNA from 1 species